UUUGAUCAUGGCUCAGGACGAACGCUGGCGGCAUGCCUAACACAUGCAAGUCGAACGGAUUUUUUAAAGGAAGUUCCUUCGGGAAUGGAAUUUAAAAAAUUAGUGGCGGACGGGUGAGUAACGCGUGGAUAACCUGCCCAUAGGUUGGGGACAACUCCGGGAAACCGGAGCUAAUACCGAAUAAAAUUUGUUGAACGCAUGUUUAACAAAUCAAAGAAGGCCUCUCGAAGAAGCUUUUGCCAAUGGAUGGAUCCGCGUCUGAUUAGCUAGUUGGUAAGGUAGUGGUUUACCAAGGCGACGAUCAGUAGCCGGCCUGAGAGGGUGAACGGCCACACUGGGACUGAGACACGGCCCAGACUCCUACGGGAGGCAGCAGUGGGGAAUCUUCCGCAAUGGGCGCAAGCCUGACGGAGCAAUGCCGCGUGAAUGAAGAAGGCCUUCGGGUUGUAAAGUUCUGUUGAGAAGGAAGAAGGGUAUUAGAGCUAAUACCUCUAGUAUUUGACGGUACUUUUUGAGGAAGCCCCGGCUAACUACGUGCCAGCAGCCGCGGUAA
rnacentral:rRNA from 1 species